rnacentral:tRNA from 1 species
GUCAGGAUGGCCGAGUGGUCUAAGGUGAGGCGUUCAGGUUGCAGUCUCCUUCUGAAGUUGUGGGUUUGAAUCCCACUUCUGACA